UACAGCAUUGUUUCCCAAUCCUGUCCCCAGAGACCCACAGACGCUCCAUGUUUUUGCUCCCUCCCAGCUCCCUGCCAGACAGUGCACAUUUUUGCUCCCUCCCAGACUGUCAGCAUUUUUGCUCCCCCUCAGAAUCCUGUCGGGACUGUCUGUGGGUCCCUGAGGACCGGAUUGGGAAACACUGUGUUAAAGGGUCAAGGUUGGCUUGUGAUGCAACAGCGCCCCAGGCAAAAGCACCGUUGCUAAGUUGGAGGAACUGUUCAGGUAACGCCAAUAACGAUCUCCUCCUUGCCAAAUCACCUUCCACUCCUUCUUCUCUCUCUCUGCUUGUUGCACGCGCAUGCAGGACCUUGCAUUUGCACGUGUGCAUUGUGUUGUGAAUUUAGCUGUCCCCACAUUGCCUUCGGGACACACUGAGUGACGUUCAGAGAUAAGCACACUUUCAGCAGCCCUUAAUUACAGUUACGUGAUGAAAAACUUCACAGGCGGAGCAGGAAACAAAAAGGCAACGCAGUGUAUUUUAAACUGGCGUUUAUUAUAUUCUUCCUGAAAAUAUAUGCAUUUAACCUGCUUUUGUGUAAUGCAUUGGAACUUGUCAUAAACAGAAAUACGGGCACAGAAUUGUGCUUUGAGUAUUCACAAUGAGAAUGAAAAAAAUAUAUAAAAAGUGUCUAGAAACUGACCAAUGAGAUUAAUGGGGGGGGGGGGGAAUUUUUAUUGACUGCAUUUAUUUUUGGAAAAUAACAGGAAAACUAUAAAUGACUGGCUGCUAUGGAGCCUGACAUUGAAAAUAAAACAGAUGAGUAAUAUUUCAUAAUGCAUCUGAAUGUACCACCGGUGGCGUUAGUCAGAGCUUAAGUGAAGAAGAGGCGUUUUAAAUCCCAUGUUUGUGAAAAUUACGCACUUAUUGUGCCGUGUGCUUGAAAGACUCCGUUUUGCUGACCUUUUUUGAGGAAGUUUAGGGUUCAGUGACCUGUAGAACAUUGAUAAAAUGGCAAAAUAAGACACCGUGUGAAGUUUCGUGUUUUUUUUCUUCUUUAACUUGUCAUUUUAGACUUCACACCUUAAAAGGCACAUUUAUCCAGAAACUGAACCGAAUUACUUUCAUUACAGCAGAAUGACACCCCCAACGUACAUGAGAAGCCACCAGAUGCAUUUAACUGCACAUCGUGCGAGAUGGUACCCGAGUGUCCUCCUUGCCCCAUGUUCACGUCUGAACAGGAAUAUGAAACCUGCUGUCUUGGCGUGGGCGUGCGCUCCGCCGGCUUGACGGAGAGAGGUGAAAGCCUGCGUUUUUGGAACGUGACGUACGGGAAUCACCGUUCGCUAUGUUUAGCUAUUGGAGCAAGUGGCAGAGUUAGCUCAGUUUCCUGGAUCUUGAGAGCCCCAUCCAGCUGGCUGUCACAUGAAUGCCGCAGUGUGCCGCGAUCUGAAUGGGAGGCCUGUUGGACGCUGCGAGAACGCCAAUACUGCAGGCUGAGCUGUCAUGGCGGGCGUGUGCAUGCGCGUGCGCACGUCUGCGUAUGUGCGCGUGUGUCUGCGCAUGGAGGCUGAAGCCGGCUUGUGCAGCUGCAACCAGGCCAGUCCAGACAAAUCAGAGCUUGCCGAGCGAGGAUGUGUAUGCGUGUGAGUGGGUGGGGAGGGGCGAGGCCCUCUUGGUGGAAUGCGGAAUCCCGAGUGUGGCAGGACUCUGUCCUACACGAUCAGCCAAACAAGGUGCCACCUGCUGGUUUGAAGUGAACACUGAAAGUGUGUGUGUGUGUGUGUGUGUGUGGGGGGGGUUAAAUAGGUCACAUUUGGGGACCAAAUGUCCCCUAAGUGGUGGUAAAACUUCCUUAGUUUCCGUGACGUUUUUCAGGUCACCAUUUGGAUAACCUCAAAUUUAUAAAAAUCUGUGAAUGCAAUCAAAAUGUGAAAAUGCCAAAUGUCUUGUAUUUAGUUUGGUUACUCAUGGUUAAGGCUAGGGCUGGGUGGGGGGCGAAGGGUGUUGUGAUUGGGAUUAAGGUUUUUCCCCAUAGAAAUUAAUGGACAGUCCCCAUUUAAAUAGGUAGACCAGCGUGUGUGUGUGGGUUAUGUGUGUAUAUUAUAUGGUGGGGACCAAAUGUUCCCUCAAUGUGAUAAAAUCCUUUUAUUUAGAGGUUGUGGGUAUGAUUCCCUACAAAGGGAAACUCAAAUUUAUAUAUAUAUAAAAAAUGACUGCAAUCAAAAAGAACUAAAAAUGCCAAAAGUCUUGUAUUUUGUUUGGUUACUUAUGGUUAAGGUUGUCAUAGUUGGGAUUAGGGUUUUGCCUAUAGAAAUGAAUGGAUGGACUCCACAAAAAAUAUGAGUACAGCUCUGUGUGUUUGUGUGUGUGUAUAUGUGUGUGUUUUCCUGUUCAAAAAACCCCUCAGCACUCUCUGUGGUGAGCUUUACUGCUGAUUGGAAGGGCAUUAGCUGCUGAAACAUAAUACUGCAUAUGUGGUCUUCACAAGCGUCGCCUAUUCCUUGUAGAAUGGUAGCUGGGUUAAGAGAGGCAGUAAAUAUAGCUAUAGAUGUAUAUUAAAUGCAGUAAUCUUCCCCAUCUCCCCUCCCCUUAAGAUGUCAGUGUCACAAUCUUUAUUGCUACACAAGUAAGGCUGGUGGCACAGCUUGCUACUGUUGGGGACACUGUGACAAUAGACGGUUAACAAUUACAUGCAGAGAAUAAACACAAGAUUUAGUAGAAGAUGCACAACAGUGAGGAGCAAAUGCAAGGUAUGUACAGAGGUUUGCGCAAAUUUAAAUAGUGCAGUGCUGAAAGUUGACACAGGUACCAUACAGACAAUAUACAUUUAUCCCUACAUAUAGUGCAUAUCACACAAUAUGCAAUUAUAACAAGCGACUGGAUUGUCACAGGUCUGUACCGAUGCAUAUGUAAAUAAACACCACAAAUGUUGUAUUGGUUUUUGAGUACAAUCAUGGAGAACUGUUGAGGAAUAGUAAAUUAUGUAAAUUCAAAAAAUGUUUAGCACUGUUAGGUCUGUCCUGUCAGGAAUAUUGCACUGUGGGUCCAGGAGGAACGUUAUUCAGUUUCAGUGUAUACUGCUAGUAGCUAAGAUGACAAUAAAGCUUCACUUGACUUGACAAUGAACCUUUACCCUUGUUUAUGGCUCCGUUACUCGUGGAAAGUGAUGGAAAAACUUUCCAUGCCUCCUCCAUCUCAUUUACCAAUUCAGUGGAAAGUGUCCUGGAUGUUUCUACGGGAGAUUUGUUGGAUUACGGCCGUGGUUUCGUAAAGAGAAAGAAAAGCUGCCUUGAAGCACACAGAGGCCCUCUGCUCUCUGUUCCCCCUGGGAAGCCGCCGCAACAAUCACUCAUCUAUCUGAGAGACAAAGCGAUUUCUUGUGUAGGCAAACACAUACUUCGGCUUUGUGAUCGAUUCUCAACAGGACAAGGUACAAAAGAAACAACCAGUGAUCGAAUGCACUUUUGGAACUAAUAGCGGGUGAAGAUAAUCUCGGGGCUGAGUUAUAAAUAGGUAAAAAAAUGAUCAAAAUGCAAAUCAAAUAAAUUAAUAAACACAAA